rnacentral:ncRNA from 1 species
AUUUAAAGUUUUUUUGCUUUUGGGUUUCAGAAAAGUUUGGGUUAAAUGCAAGUUUUAGCGGGAAAAAAUAUGUAUUUAAAUAAAAUUAUGGGAAUAUAAAUAAGAGGGCAGUUAUUAGUUUUAAAUAUUCGGGGGGCCGAGAUAUAGCAUGGGUUUAAAGUACAAACAAAAUUUGUGCCAGCAGUUGCGGUUAUACAAAUUGUGCAAUGAAAGUUUAUUGGGUACAGUUAAUUGAAUGGGUAUAGAAUUAAGAGAAUUUUAUUGGGUGAAAUUUUUAAUAUUCUGGAGGUUUAUAUUUUGUGAUAAUGAGGCUGGGAAAUUUUACGAAAGACUAGGAUUAGAUACCCUAUUAUAAAAAUGAGUUUUAUAAACCUAAAUUAUUAGUAGUUAAGUUCUUGAAAAUUAAUGAAGAUGGCGGUAUUUUAGUCUAUUUAGAGGAAUCUGCCCUGUAAUUGAUAUUCCACGAUUCAAAUUACUUGGAGUUUUAGCUUGCAUAUCGCUGUAGAUUGAAUAUUUUUACUGAAUUUAAAUGUUCACGAGUUUGAGGGAAAGAAAAUCAAGUCAAGAUGUAGCUUAUAUCUGAGAAGAGGUGGAUUACAAUAGUUGUAUUUGUGGUUAGUAGUUUGAAAAGGCUAUUAUAAAAUGGAUUUGAUAGUAAUUUUUUACUAAGAUUUGAAAAAUGAUUUUAGCUCUAAAAUAUGUACAUAUCGCCCGUCGCUUUCACUAUAAGGUGGAAUAAGUCGUAACAUAGUAGAUGUACUGGAAAGUGCCUCUAGAAAACA